CUACGGGACGCACCAGUGGGGAAUAUUGCACAAUGGGCGCAAGCCUGAUGCAGCCAUGCCGCGUGUAUGAAGAAGGCCUUCGGGUUGUAAAGUACUUUCAGCGGGGAGGAAGGGAGUAAAGUUAAUACCUUUGCUCAUUGACGUUACCCGCAGAAGAAGCACCGGCUAACUCCGUGCCAGCAGCCGCGGUAAUACGGAGGGUGCAAGCGUUCAUCGGAAUUACUGGGCGUAAAGCGCACGCAGGCGGGUUGUUAAGUCAGAUGUGAAAUCCCCGGGCUCACCCUGGGAACUGCAUCUGAUACUGGCAAGCUUGAGUCUCGUAGAGGGGGGUAGAAUUCCAGGUGUAGCGGUGAAAUGCGUAGAGAUCUGGAGGAAUACCGGUGGCGAAGGCGGCCCCCUGGACGAAGACUGACGCUCAGGUGCGAAAGCGUGGGGAGCAAACAGGAUUAGAUACCCUUGUAGUC
rnacentral:rRNA from 1 species